rnacentral:rRNA from 1 species
GGGGGCGAGCGAAAGCGGCUCCCGCUGAAGGAUGGGCCUGCGGCUGAUUAGCUAGUUGGUGGGGUAACGGCCUACCAAGGCGACGAUCAGUAGCCGACCUGAGAGGGUGACCGGCCACACUGGGACCGAGACACGGCCCAGACUCCUACGGGGCAGCAGUGGGGAAUAUUGCGCAAUGGGCGAAAGCCUGACGCAGCGACGCCGCGUGGGUGAUUAAGGCCUUCGGGUCGUAAAGCCCUGUCGGGUGGAACGAAUCCCCGUCUCGCUAAUACCGAGGCGGAUUGACGGUACCACCGAAGGAAGCCCCGGCUAACUACGUGCCAGCAGCCGCGGUAAUACGUAGGGGGCGAGCGUUGUUCGGAUUUACUGGGCGUAAAGAGCGCGUAGGCGGUUUGGCAAGUCGGAGGUGAAAGCCCUUGGCUCAACCAAGGAGCCGCGUCCGAUACUACCAGACUUGAGUGCAGGAGAGGAGAGCGGAACUCCCAGUGUAGCGGUGAAAUGCGUAGAUAUUGGGAAGAACACCGGUGGCGAAGGCGGCUCUCUGGACUGUUACUGACGCUGAGGCGCGAAAGCUAGGGGAGCAAACGGGAUUAGAUACCCCGGUAGUCCUAGCCGUAAACGAUGGGCACUAGGUGUGGGAGGUAUUGACCCCUUCCGUGCCGCAGCUAACGCAUUAAGUGCCCCGCCUGGGGAGUACGGCCGCAAGGUUGAAACUCAAAGGAAUUGACGGGGGCCCGCACAAGCGGUGGAGCAUGUGGUUUAAUUCGACGCAACGCGAAGAACCUUACCAGGGCUUGACAUCCCGCGAACCCCUCCGAAAGGAGGGGGUGCCCGCAAGGGAGCGCGGAGACAGGUGGUGCAUGGCUGUCGUCAGCUCGUGUCGUGAGAUGUUGGGUUAAGUCCCGCAACGAGCGCAACCCUCACCCCUUGUUGCCACCAGGUGAUGCUGGGCACUCUAGGGGAACUGCCCCGGUCAACGGGGAGGAAGGCGGGGAUGACGUCAAGUCAUCAUGCCCCUUACGCCCUGGGCUACACACGUGCUACAAUGGCCGGUACAAAGGGAUGCAAUACCGCGAGGUGGAGCUAAACCCAAAAAGCCGGUCUAAGUUCAGAUUGGAGUCUGCAACUCGACUCCAUGAAGGAGGAAUCGCUAGUAAUCGCGUAUCAGCACGACGCGGUGAAUACGUUCCCGGGCCUUGUACACACCGCCCGUCACACCACGAAAGCCAGUUGUACUCGAAGUCGCCGAGCUAACCCGCAAGGGA